GAUGAACGCUGGCGGCGUGCUUAACACAUGCAAGUCGAACGAUGAAGCCCAGCUUGCUGGGUGGGUUAGUGGCGAACGGGUGAGUAACACGUGAGUAACCUGCCCUUAACUCUGGGAUAAGACUGGGAAACUGGGUCUAAUACCGGAUAGGAGCGUCCACCGCAUGGUGGGUGUUGGAAAGAUUUAGCGGUUUUGGAUGGACUCGCGGCCUAUCAGCUUGUUGGUGGGGUAAUGGCUCACCAAGGCGCCGACGGGUAGCCGGCCUGAGAGGGUGACCGGCCACACUGGGACUGAGACACGGCCCAGACUCCUACGGGAGGCAGCAGUGGGGAAUAUUGCACAAUGGGCGCAAGCCUGAUGCAGCGACGCCGCGUGAGGGAUGACGGCCUUCGGGUUGUAAACCUCUUUCAGUAGGGAAGAAGCGAAAGUGACGGUACCUGCAGAAGAAGCACCGGCUAACUACGUG
rnacentral:rRNA from 1 species